CAGAAUUGAAUGGUUUAAAGCAGCUCCCAUCUUCUUUUCCCCACUUCCUUCUUCCUGAAUUUUUCCCCUCACUCUCUUAUCUCAUCUUUUCCCCACUUGCUUGCUUCCUGAAAUUUUCCUUUUCCCUCUCUCCUUCCUGCGUCGCCGCCGGUCACCUGAGUCGCCUCGGUGUACUUCCCUUCCAGCUUAUUGUGGGGAAACCUUGAAGGGCUCCCUGGGGUCAGAUCCGUUUGCUCAUGGAUCGGAGGUGUGCGGCACUGGGGAUAUUGAUGUGCGACGAACCGUCGUCGGUAUCGGAGGACCUUCGGCACAGCAAGGGUCCUUUGACGAAGCAUCUCGUUUGCUGUCCAUGAUUGGAGCAGUGGCUCAUGGUUUCAGGUAAAUAGGAAUAUUCAUGCAUAUCAUUCGUUUUUGUCUCUUAUGCAAAAUAUAAAGUUCUCUUCUUGCUUGUUGGCUGUUUGAUUUGAUUAGCAGUGUGAAGCUGGCAGUCUUCCGUUGGGGAUAUCAUUAGGAUUGAUUCAUUUGUCUCUUUUAUUGAAGGAAAAGUGUACUGCUCUUUGACGCACUCCAUCAAAAAUAUUUUACAUCAAGAAGUUUAUCUUCUCAAUCUUUGCUGGGGGAAACAUUUGAAGAUAUAUGGCUAUUUGAGAUUUUUGCUAAUUGAUUUUUUAUGCUUCAAAUAUUUUUAUUGGUUGACUGAGAUGAAUUUUUAUUAGAUUAGUAGAUAUAUAUGGAUAUUAAAAAUAUACUAUUUCAGAACAGUAUCAAGACAAAUAGAACAUUUCCUUAAAUAAAUUGAUAUUAGAUAAUGUGAACCUACCAGCACCCUAUCUUAAGCUCGAUAUACGUUUGAGAGGACUUUCUUAUCAAAUGGGUCUUAUUGAAUAACAUUUGUGCAUCUAUAAACUUGAAUAACACUGGUACAAUUAGAGGAUUUUAAAUACUGUGGGUAUAUGUCAGAGGACUUUUUACAUAGACUGUCUUUCGAGCUCACCGUUUCUGCUUGCAGUAAACCUUAAAAAUAUUAAGUCAAUUAGAAAAUCUCCUUGUAUACAAUGUUUCUAGCGACAUUUUCUUCGGGACAAUCUGAAUCAUCAAUCAGAACCUUCAGGCCAUUUCGGUUUGUGACUCUAGAGAAUGCUACCGCCCUGUUUGGGGGAGCUUCUCCCAGCUGCAGCUUUUCCCAAAAGCUGCUUCUGCUAGAAGCUGCCUCAAACAGUCCACAGCUUCUGAGAAUCUGCAGUUAUAGAUUCUGAAAAAUGAACUAAGAAGCCAGAAGCUGGGUUUCAGAGCUUUUCCAGAUUCUCAAAAGCUGGCUACCAAACAGCUGCUUCUCGGAAUCUAAAGCUCCCCAAACAGGCCCCCAUGGCAGAAGACUUGUUUAGGACAAAUGGCCAGUUGGUGUCGCUCGGUGACAUGAUGAUUGUAUGUAUACCUUGUCGUCCACAUGUGUACCUGUUAUGAUCUGUGCUUCGAUGUAUUUCUUACCUAACUGUGUGAUUGUCAUUCUCGUGCCGUUGCAUAGGCCUGCAGUUUGGUUGAUGUUACGAAGUAGCAUGACAGGCAGGCCUACUUUAAGCUUAAGUUCGUGGUUUGGUAUUCCAGGGAAUUUCAACGUGUUGAGGAACUCGGUAGGAUACAUGUGCUCCAUGCUACUGUUGUUUGUCAUCGCUUUGCAAACGGUGUCACAGCUUAGCAAAAUGUAAGGUGGAGGCGGUGCAGUGGUUGGGUCACGGAUCGGCCAGGGUGGCGAGCCUGGGGGAAUCGGCGGGCAGGCAAAGGUUGGUUGACGCUGUUUUUCUUUUCAAUUCCUUUGCAUGAAUUAUAUGUUUGGAUGCUUCAUGUGCAAUCGGUUGCAAAAUUAGGUCUGUAUAUACAGAGAUGUGAUAAAAAAUCAUAAAUAAAAUAACAGAUUGCAUAGUAAUAUAUCUCAGUUUAUGCAUAUACAACAUUCGACUAUUAUAAUACAGUACAUGUAAUGAUCUGUAUUGACUAUGAACUAUUCUUUCUAGCUAGUAUCAUUAACUGUAGGAUAUUCUAUCGAGCUACUGCUAAUUAUGAACUAUUAUCAUGAGCUCUAAGCACUAUUUGUAUACUUAGAAUUCAUUUUCCUUGUUCUCUGAGGCCUUGUGUUGCAUGCUUUAUUGUCUGAUUGAACACAUGUUUUCUGACGUUUUUCAACAGAGCUUUCCUUGCCUAUGCCAUUGAUGGUUUUAGCCUAUCUUUUUCCUGCCUUGAUGGAUUCUUCAACAACUGAUUUGUUUAUUUCAUGGCUGUAGGUGUCAUUUCUGAUUUCCGCCUUUGUGGAUUUUGCAUGAGCGCCUUUUGCAUUUUUGCCUCGAACUUUUGCAUCUACGCAUUUUAUCAUACUUGUUUCAUUGCUCUCCUCUUCUGAAUCGUCUUCUAUUAUGUAUGACCUCCGUCUUAUUUGUUUGCAACUGGGAGGUUUGUCAGACGAAGUGAGUUCAUCUUCACUCGUGAUUUCCUGGUCACUAUCCUCUAGCUCUUGCUUCACGGGUAGCAGUGAGAUGGAUCUGUUUUUAAUAAGAGGGCCGCUGCUGGUUUGUUCCUGCAAAGGCAAUGAAGUAUUUGUCAUAUGUGCUAUAUAUUAUAAAUAAAUGAAAAUUUGUAUUAUAUGUUCAAAUACC